ACGUACCAAUGAGAGAAUUUAAAACAAAAAAACAAACAAAAAAAAAGACCUGGGUUCAAAGGCAGCUUUGGCAUUUCCUACUUGUGUGACCUUGGUUAAGUUAUUUAACAUUGUGUCAGCGCCUUCAUUGGUAAAAUGGAGGAAACUGGGUCUGUGGCACGUCAGACCUGGAGCCCAGGAGGCCCUCGCUGUCAGCUGUUAGCAUAACUGUCCUUUCUUGUGGGCUCUGUACAGAGCCACCAACCGUGCAUGUGCUCUGGGAACAGCCGCCGCCAGACACGGAUGAAGUCACCUCAGCUCCCAGCCUCAGGGCUCCCUCCAAGCCAUGACCCCUGCAUGCUCAGGCCCGGCACUUUCGAGAGUUACAGAAUUACAGCUAAAGCCACAUCUUCCACCCCAGAUUCACUAAGGGUGGAGUCUUCACUGCCUGUCUCUCAGCUCUGUUCCUGGGCAUGGGUUUGGCUUUUUUUAGGACAGACAUUUAUGGGCACUGUAUGUCUUUAUUCUCCAUGUCACUUCCUCAUGACUCUCCCUUUUAAACACAAGCCCCGAUCGGGCCCCCAGUCAAUCCCUGCUGUGCUAGGACUUUCAAGGCAUGGCUAGCUGUGACUGCUACUUAGUCAGCCUUCUACCCUAAUGCUCAGGGGCUUUGACCUCUGCUCGCAGCCCACCCUUUUCCGCCUGGCUCCUGCUGCCCUCUGUGUCCUCUGCCCAAGGCCCCACUGGGAAUGUUCUCUCCCCAGCCCAUGAAUCUUCCACUCGGUUUUAGGUCCUUGCACAAAUGGCUGAUCCAUCAAAAGGCUGUUUCUUGCCCCAAAUGACACGUAAUUACCGCUUGUUAUAAAAUUUCUGCACAUUUUAUCAGGAGGCAGAAUAGAAAAAGCAAAGGCUUUAAAAUUGGAAAGGCUUGUUUCCAAAUCCUGGUGCAACUCACAGCUUCAUGACUAGGGCAGAUUAUUUAUUCUCUCAAUGUUUGACUCUUUGCCUAUAAAAUGGGACAAUAACACUCAUCUUCCAGGGUUACAGUGAUAAUUAAAUUAUAUGUACACAAAGUUGUCGGGUAGAGUUCCUCAGGCACACAGAGAGACUUAACAGGUUUAUUUUUCCAUGUCCUUCUCAACUGGUAUUUUUCACUUCCCACUUUCUGGGAGAAUGACUUGUGCCUUCUUCAUCUCCCUGGCUGGAUGGCUGGCUCCAGGAGGGCAGGAUUUUUGUGGGAUUUUAAUGAGUGAAUGAAAGGACAGUUACUAUAUUAAUACAAACACAAACCUCUGGAUCCACUAAGUAUGAAAGCUUGAAAGGCUCUCAGAGAGAAAUCACACAGAUGGUGUGUUAGUCAGCUUUCCAUCACUGUGACAAAUACCCCAGAAAAUCACCUGAGAGCAGGAGAGGUUUAUUUUGGCUCACAGUAAGUUUUGGUGCAUGGUCACUGGGCCCUGUCCCCUUGGGCCUGCGGCAGCAAAGGAAGGGGCUGAGGUUCCAGUGUCCCCUCCAAGGACACAGCCCUGUGACCUUCCUCCCAGCAGGCCACCUCCUAAGGGUCCCAUCACCUCCCAACAGGGCCAGAGGCUGGGGACCAAGCGUGGAACACAUGGCAAGCAAGGAGUGGCAGACAGUGACCGGGCUGCACUUCUGUUCUCCCGUAGCGCUUCCCUCAGCAGUGGGAAGUGCUGGCAGGCCCGUGGGACCAGAAGCAUGCCUCGGUGAAGGUUAGCUCCAUGGGACACAGGCCCCUCAGCGAGCCUCCACAGGCAGCACCGGACCUGCAAUCUGACAACGCACCUGCAGGACCUCCCAGGCUCGACACACACACAGAUGAGCUCUCUACAAGACCGGUACACGAUGAUCUACAGUAGGACCGAUGAAAACAGCCCCCAGCUGGGAAUGACCCAAAUGAUGGUCACGACUAGGAAGGGUGGAAAGGAUAAAGGAAGAAUUAUGAACGGGCAGAAACCUACUCAGAGCUCAUCAGUUUCCAGUACAGACCUCUGUAAAUCACUACCUCCAGGGAACACAGACCAUAAACCGAACAAUGACACCCACACCGGCCACACAGGGACACGGACAGGCCUGCUGACUCCAUGUGUUACUCUGGACACAUCCCCUAGGGAAAGCACUUCUGGCUGCAAAAAUGUACAGUCCAAAUACCAUAAGGAUCCUAGGCUGUGUGCAUGAGCCUUAUUCAUAGCCAAGAGGCCCUCUGGAGACUCAGGGGUGACAGGCCUAUCUGGAAGCCAUAGGUUGGCAGCUGAUCUGAAAGGUUGCAAGUGGAAAUAUGCUGCACACCCCUGUGCUCCAAGACGCUGGGAAAGCAUGCAGUGACAUGGCUGCUAAUGUGUGGAGGAACAUCACCUCCACAGCAACAAUUCCUGCAAAGCCCAGAAAAAGAAAGAGCACAGCAAAGAGGAUUUGUUGGUGCGUUGGGAAUACUUCUGAGGCAUAGGAAGCCCUGGUUUGUCCAAGAAAGACGAGCACAGUUCCAUGAACACCUCCCUCCCUUCUGCUUAGAUGCUAGAGUCACUAAACUGCCCCGCUCCUACCCUGUUUUGCAAUGUGAGACAUCCCAAGGAAAGCCAUUCUUCCCAAGGACUCAGCAGCUCCGGAUUCUGACCUCUGGGACCUGCAAGGUUGAAAGCUCCCUCUGUGCGGUCAGACUGCUGUGUUGGCCCAAAGGGCUCUCCAACAUUCCACAGACACUGCGCUGCAGAGGCACCAAACAUGACGUUGCGGGGCAGCCUAACAAGUCUGUUGGAUUCACUUGCUUCAUUGCUGAUUUCAGAAGGUGCUUGGCUACGUCAUAAAGUAACAGAGCCCACUAGCUUUGCUACACAUGACACCUCUGACGAGUGGGCUCUGUGGUUUUCAGGAAUUUAGAAGGAGUCUUGAGUAGCUCAAAAUGGUUGAGGCCAGUGGUCCUUCCCUUGGAUCCACGAGGCUGUCAUCUGGGUGACCUUUUGAUGUCAGAGGGACAAAAACUCCACCCUCAGAUCACGCUAAUGACCCAAACAUGUCUCCCGUGGACAGCCACGAAGGUGGGCUACACAGGUGCAGACUGCAUUGCUGCACUUCCCCUUACUGCCAGUCUCCUUCCUCAUAUCUCAGAGCCAUACACACCUGAGCCCUCUCCUCAGGAAGGUGGCUUUGCGGCGGGGGCUCCCACCUUGUUUGGCUUCUGUGAGAAUAAACUUUCUCUUUUGUAAAA